AGAGAGAGAGACCAGAGAGAGAGAGAGACCAGAGAGAGACCAGAGAGAGAGAGACCAGAGAGAGAGAGAGACCAGAGAGAGAGAAGAGAGAGAGAGACCAGAGAGAGAGAGACCAGAGAGAGAGAGACUAGAGAGAGACCAGAGAGACCAGUGAGAGAGAGAGACUAGAGAGAGACCAGAGAGAGACCAGAGAGAGAGAGAGGGAGAGACCAGAGAAAAAGAGAGUGAGAGACCAGAGAGAGAGAGAGGGAGAGACCAGAGAAAAAGAGAGUGAGAGACCAGAGAGCGAGAGACCAGAGAGAAAGAGAGGGAGAGAAAGAGACCAGAGAGCGAGAGACCAGAGAGAGAGAGAGCGAGAGACCAGAGAGAAAGAGAGCGAGAGACCAGAGAGAAAGAGAGCGAGAGACCAGAGAGAAAGAGAGGGAGAGACCAGAG
rnacentral:lncRNA from 1 species